rnacentral:lncRNA from 1 species
CGCCCGCCGGAAAGCGACAAGCGACCCUCUCGGAGACGUCCUGUGGAACCUUCAGUGUCAUUUUUCUUUGAAAGUCCAAACAAAUUGUAUAUUAUUAAAAGUUGCGGAACUCAUGGAAAUCGAACUCAUGCUCAUGGCUAUCUCAACCAGAGCGUUGUUCUACUAGACAUUCCCAAUACCGACGAUUUUUAGAAACGGCAGCGCUAAUAUUAGCGCGCGACGUCUGUCUUCGUGAAUAGCAAACACGACGCGAAAAAGAACCCAAGAACCAAAGGUAAACUCACUUUAAAAAUAGAAAAAGUAUCAAAGUAUGGGAAAGACUCGAGUCAGUCACAGAUAGCCGCACAGAUUCACCUACGUAGCGACGUGGUUGGACAAAGUAGUCGUAAUAUGUUACAGUUGUUAUGCGACUCGAGCCACAUCUAAGGAAAUGUUAGUACAGACUGCGGUUAUACUGGUUAUAUUGGAUUAUAUCGUACUCUAUUGAACUCGGCUGUGGUUUGUGGUGUAAACGUUUGAACGAGCACCUCAAGUAUUUACAUUGACACGUUUUUUUGUCUCGUGGUUAACAAGGCGAUGGCAUUGUACCCGACCGCUUAUUGAUAGUGUCAAUAGAAGAUUAUUAUGCCCAUGAUUAAUAACACUUCCCGAAAGUUAUGCCUUUGUGUUUAUAUUUGUGAAAUGUAGAUCAAUGUGCCGCACGUAACUUAAGUGUACUGAUUUAAAUCUAACUUUUUAAGGUUUCAUACCCGGGGUGUUAUUUAAAAAAAAAUAUGAGAAUUAACUGCUUUUUCUCAUACAUUGAACCUUAAGAUUAUCAUCAAUGGUACUCUAGUGCUUAAGCCUCAAUAUUACUCGAAUA